GACGGAUUUUGGGUUUGACGCACGGAUUUCGAUAAAAUUGGAAAAUAUAUGUUUUAUAUGUAUUUGUGCGUAGUUUCUUUCAUUAGAAUGAUGGACCGAGUUCGUCGCGAAUCCGAGACGGAUCAAGGAGAAACGAAAUCGUAGCUUUGUUGUCUCCGUCGUGCUGAUCGCACUGGUGCAAUCCGUUCGUAAAUCGAACGGAUGGAUCUGCGGAGAUCGCCCGUUGAUCGAGGAAAGGUCGGUGUUG
rnacentral:lncRNA from 1 species